rnacentral:rRNA from 1 species
CUGCUGCCUCCCGUAGGAGUCUGGGCCGUGUCUCAGUCCCAGUGUGGCCGUCCGCCCUCUCAGGCCGGCUACUGAUCGUCGCUUUGGUAGGCCGUUACCCUGCCAACUGGCUAAUCAGACGCGGGCCCAUCCUGUACCACCGGAGUUUUCAGGGAAAAGCCAUGCGGCUUCCCCCGUUAUGCGGUAUUAGCACCUAUUUCUAAGUGUUAUCCCCCUGUACAGGCCAGGUUGCCCACGCGUUACUCACCCGUCCGCCACUCAUG